GGGAAGGGAUGGUUUGUUCCAGGAAUCGUAGCCGGCUUGCAGUGAACCAGGAGGUUUUGCUAUGGGGUGGGAUUGAAGCUGCCUGUGGUGGACUCUUCUUGACUUAUUCAGAAGUCCACCAUAGCCACUGGGCCAUCCCAGAGGUAGAGACUUCUCUAUUGAUCAUUCCCACCAGGGAUGCCCUCUGUCCUGCCUCAUGUGUGUGCUGACCAGCCUAUGUGAAAGAGUCUCAUGUCGGACCUAGGAAUAAAACACCCGGUUCUGUGUCUGCAGUCAAAUCCCUUUGCUGUUUAAGGGCCAUUGACACCGUCUCUUCUGAGAGCAUCCUUCUGUGAUGACUUUUCUGGAUCUUGGACAUGCUCAGAGCCCAGCUGAAGAAGAGCUGUCUGUUUAAUAGGAGUCUGGGGAAAGGUUCCUGUUUAUCAAAACACACCCACACAACAAAACUGCCGAGGAGUUCGCAUUGCCAGAAUCAGCCUGAGGCCAGGGUGAGGUGAAGAGAUAGGAUCUUAUUUAUUAAAGGAAACAAGAUUUUCUCUUGCUGCUCUGCUACAGGAGCAGAUGCUCUGAAGAUUGACGGAAUC
rnacentral:lncRNA from 1 species